rnacentral:rRNA from 1 species
UACGUAGGUGGCGAGCGUUGUCCGGAUUUAUUGGGCGUAAAGCGAGCGCAGGCGGUAUGAUAAGUCUGAUGUGAAAGCCCACGGCUUAACCGUGGAACUGCAUCGGAAACUGUCAUUCUUGAGUGCAGAAGAGGAGAGUGGAAUUCCAUGUGUAGCGGUGGAAUGCGUAGAUAUAUGGAAGAACACCAGUGGCGAAGGCGGCUCUCUGGUCUGCAACUGACGCUGAGGCUCGAAAGCAUGGGUAGCGAACAGG